GGGGGCGAAAGGACUCGACGGAGGUAGUGAGGGCUAAGCUGCAUGCCGUGGUUCCUGCCACCACGUAAAACAGGUAGGAAAAACACAACUGCCAACACAGAAUUGGCACUUGCUGCUUAAUUAAAAGCAGCCGCCUUCCUGAGUUCUGCUC
rnacentral:tmRNA from 1 species